UCCACACUCUCACUCAUUGGAAUAUGCGUGCAAACCAACCUCACUGAGCCUCUUCCCUCACCCUGACAAGGGACCUGACAGUCUCUCGCUCCCAGGGCAGUGGCCAUGUAAAAAUCGCCAGGCUUCUGCCCAGCACAAAUUGUGCCUCGUGGGUAUUAGUCACCUAGUCUCGUAGCUGUCUUGCUGGCCGUUGCCUGAAUGUUCCACCGUGUCGGGGGGGAGGGGGGGCUGCUCAUGCUUUGUAGACUUUGCCUCCACCAGCACAUGGAGUGGGGAGCAUCUGCCUGCAGGAGCCGCAGGUGGUGGCGUCACGCAGCUUCGGAUCCAAGAGAUUCAUUCCAGCCGCGAAAGCGCUAAGCUUUCCCUGUGAUCACACAGUUUUGCACCAGCCAGAGCUUGCACAUGCCUCUACAGACCCGCGGCCAGAGGCAUGUGGCUAUCAGCGGCUGCUCAGAGGUGCUGGCCAAGGCCGGCCGGCCAGGGAGGCCUCGAUCACGUGCAAGGAGAGAUCUAUUUGAAACAACUGACAAGAAACUGUACGUCGGAAAUCGGAACAGCUGUGAGCUCCUCAUCGCAGCAGAUGGGAAACGGAUGUUUCUGUUUCCCGCACGUGAACGUGGCAGGUCAUCUGCCCAUCCUACUGCCUCUGGCUUCCAGCCUGGGUCACGCCGGCCUGCCGCAGUAAACAACCUGAGGUCCUCCUUGUAGGACUUAACAUUUAAAAACUCCUGAUGGAAUUACGUUUGCUUGUGUGAAUUGUAAAGGCAUAAUAAAAGAAGCUUGC
rnacentral:lncRNA from 1 species